UACGUAGGGUGCAAGCGUUAAUCGGAAUUACUGGGCGUAAAGCGUGCGCAGGCGGUUUUGUAAGUUUGUCGUGAAAGCCCCGGGCUCAACCUGGGAAUUGCGAUGAAGACUGCAAGGCUUGAAUCUGGCAGAGGGGGGUAGAAUUCCACGUGUAGCAGUGAAAAUGCGUAGAGAUGUGGAGGAACACCGAUGGCGAAGGCAGCCCCCUGGGUCAAGAUUGACGCUCAUGCACGAAAGCGUGGGGAGCAAACAGG
rnacentral:rRNA from 1 species